rfam:Papio anubis isolate 1X1155 chromosome 6, whole genome shotgun sequence.
GCUGGGCAUGGUGGCGUGCACCUGUAAUCCCAGCUACUUCGGAGGCUGAGGCAGGAGAAUCCCUUGAACCUGGGAGGUGGAGAUUGCAGUGAGCUGAGAUCGCGCCACUGCACUCCAGCCUGGGUGACAGGAGCGAGACUUUUGCUCAAAAAAAAAAAAAAGUAAUAAAAUACACAUAGCAUAAAAUGUAUCAUUUUAACCCCCUGUCUCCCAGGCUGGAGUGCAGUGGUACGAUCUCAGCCCACUGCAAUCUCCACCUCCCAGGUUCAAGGGAUUCUCCUGCCUCAG